GCCAGACUCCUACGGGAGGCAGCAGUGGGGAAUAUUGGGCAAUGGGCGCAAGCCUGACCCAGCAACGCCGCGUGAAGGAAGAAGGCUUUCGGGUUGUAAACUUCUUUUAAGAGGGAAGAGAAGAAGACGGUACCUCUUGAAUAAGCCCCGGCUAACUACGUGCCAGCAGCCGCGGUAAUACGUAGGUGGCAAGCGUUGUCCGGAUUUACUGGGUGUAGAGGGCGUGCAGCCGGGCUGACAAGUCAGAUGUGAAAUUCCGCGGCUCAACCGCGGAACUGCAUUUGAAACUGUCAGUCUUGAGUACCGGAGAGGUCAUCGGAAUUCCUUGUGUAGCGGUGAAAUGCGUAGAUAUAAGGAAGAACACCAGUGGCGAAGGCGGAUGACUGGACGGCAACUGACGGUGAGGCGCGAAAGCGUGGGGAGCAAACAGGAUUAGAUGCCCGUGUAACC
rnacentral:rRNA from 1 species